rnacentral:rRNA from 1 species
AGUGAACGCUGGCGGUAGGCCUAACACAUGCAAGUCGAACGGCAGCACAGUAAGCGCUUGCUCUUACGGUUGGCGAGUGGCGGACGGGUGAGAAGUACAUCGGAAUCUACUUUUUCGUGGGGGAUAACGUAAGGAAACUUACGCUAAUACCGCAUAUGACCUACGGGUGAAAGCAAGGGAUCUUCGGGGCUUUGGCGUUUCUAUGAGCCGGCGUCGGAUUAGCUAGUUGGGUGGGUAAGGGCCCACCAAGGCAACGAUCCGUAGCCGAUCUGAGAGGAUGAUCAGCCACACUGGAACUGAGACACGGUCCAGACUCCUACGGGAGGCAGCAGUGGGGAAUAUUGGACAAUGGGCGCAAGCCUGACCCAGCCACACCGCGUGGGUGAAGAAGGCCUUCGGGUCGUAAAGCCCUUUUAUUGGGAAAGAAAAGCAGCAGAUUAAUCCACCGACGUUCUGACGGUACCCAAACAAUAAGCAACGGCUAACUUCGUG